CGUUGCUUUCUUUCUUCAAAAACCGAUCCCCUAUCCAAAUAAACUGAGCUUUUUAAACAAAAGAUUUGUGCGGUAAAAUUUAUUAUUGGAUCAAAUUUUAAUAGUACAAAUUUUUUGCUGAAUAAGUUCAGUUUAUUUGGGACCGGAAGGAUCGGAUUCCCUCUCUCGCCUAUCUCACGUCGCAUCUCUCACUAUGUCCCUUUUCACUUCACAACUCUCUCUCUCUCUCUCUCUCUCUCUCUCUCUCUCUACCCACUCACUCAACAAUUAAUUUCCACUUUCAUUUCACUCAUCUCUCUCAACCUCUCCCAAUGCACUCCCUCAUUUUUCUGAAAACCUCACUCUCUCUAAACCCGAGAGAAGAGAGCUCUCACUCUCCCACUUACCUUCACAACUAAGCCCUAUUUUCUACAUAUUCGAAGUCUGUGGGAUGCAAGGAUCGUGGUCUUGCAUGUGAGAUCGCUGCAGUGAGGACCUCGGCACCAUUGAAGUUGAGAGCUCCAUAGCUCUCAAAGCUUGAACCCAGUUUCCGGCGAAGGACCGCGGAAUUGCAGGCCAUUUCCGACUAGUUCCGGCACAACUUGUGUCCCACUUAGUUUUCGGCGGUUGCAGCGGCGAACGGAAGCCCAGAUCCGCGACCCGAAUCCAGAUCCGCGACCCGGAAUCCGGCCCGGCCCGGUUCGAAAAUGCAUAUGGAAUAUUUUGUGUUUGACUUUUUACAAAAUUUGAUCAGAAUCCCUCUUAGCGUAUUUUGACAAUCUGAUUUCAAAUUCGCACUCUGUUUUCUCAAAUUUGACCGUUUAAAUUGAGUUUUACUAAUGCGUCACAAUGUUAUACUUAGGUGCGAUAACUAUCAGAGACUCCGACUUUCUCAGCUUGAAAGGAUGUGACUUCACAAGUAUUUGAUUUUUAAUGGCAGAGAUUUUGUGACGACAAAGAUUGUUGGUAAAAGCUGUUAUGUAGAAGACUUCUCCUUUCGGUGUCGGCCAACACAUUGCAAUUCGGAUGUCUAGAUAGACAUUCAGGAUCAGGAUGUGUCACCAAACGCCUGCUUAUUUGGCCCCUUUGUCCAGUCAAAAUGUGAAAGUAUCGACUAUUUAAUCAGGACCUGAUGGUUCUUUUAUUUUA